CCCUAGCCCCGAUUGCAACGGCAUCCUUUUUUUGUUUUUGAGUAAAUUUUGUAUUGAUGACAAAACGUCGUAAACAAAAAAAGAUAUAGUGGAAAGCGGGAUCAAGC
rnacentral:sRNA from 1 species